rnacentral:rRNA from 1 species
GCGCCUUGCCAGCCCGCUCAGAAACUCAAAGGAAUUGACGGGGCCCGCCACAAGCGGAGGAACAUGUGGUUUAAUUCGAUGAUACGCGAGGAACCUUACCUGGGCUUAAAUGGGGAGUGACAGCUGUCGAAAGAUGGUUUUCUUCGGACACUCUUCAAGGUGCUGCAUGGUUGUCGUCAGCUCGUGCCGUGAGGUGUCGGGUUAAGUCCCAUAACGAGCGCAACCCUUACCGUUAGUUACCAUCAGGUUAAGCUGGGGACUCUAGCGGGACUGCCACCGUAAGGUGAGAGGAAGGUGGGGAUGACGUCAAAUCAGCACGGCCCUUAUGUCCAGGGCUACACACGUGUUACAAUGGCCGGUACAAAGGGCAGCUACUUCGCGAGAAGAUGCUAAUCUCGAAAGCCGGUCUCAGUUCGGAUCGAAGUCUGCAACCCGACUUCGUGAAGCUGGAUUCGCUAGUAAUCGCGCAUCAGCCAUGGCGCGGUGAAUACGUUCCCGGGCCUU